AUCCUGCUCACGCGAGACUUGAGCAAGGCAGGGGGGCGGGAAGGGAGUCGGAGACACAACAAAGAUGGCGGCGGCGACUGUGACGGUGACGAAGACGGCGGCGGCGGCGACGGCAUUUAACAAGGCGGUGUGGUUUACUCCAUGCAGUUGUCAGGAGACCUCUGUAUGGCUUUUCAAUUUUAGUUGAAAUUCUCUCUCCAUGGCCUUUUGGAGUCCCUUGCUGUAUCUCCGAAGUAAAUUUCAAUUACUCUACAUUUCAUCAAUGUUGGAGUGGCAAGAAAAAGGAGGAACAGAUUUGGGGUGAAAAGUUUUGUUUUCUAGGUCUAACAAACUGUAAAUGUUAAAAAAGCAAAGAUGGGUGAAAAAAAACCAGAGCCUUUGGACUUCGUGAAAGAUUUUCAGGAAUACCUGACUCAGCAGACCCAUCACGUGAACAUGAUUUCUGGAUCAGUUAGUGGGGACAAAGAAGCAGAGGCUCUUCAGCUGGAACAGAUGGUGAUCAAAAUGGACUUGAUCACCCAUCUGUUGAAGUUUCCUUGGAUGAAAACUCAGGAAUGUUAGUAGACGGGUUUGAAAGGACCUUUGAUGGGAAGCUUAAGUGUCGGUACUGCAACUAUGCCAGCAAAGGAACAGCCCGGCUUAUUGAACACAUCAGAAUCCACACAGGUGAAAAACCUCAUCGAUGUCAUCUUUGUCCAUUUGCAUCUGCUUAUGAGCGUCAUCUGGAAGCCCAUAUGCGUUCUCAUACUGGAGAAAAACCAUACAAAUGUGAAUUAUGUUCCUUCCGCUGCAGUGAUCGAAGUAACUUGUCCCAUCAUCGAAGGCGCAAGCAUAAAAUGGUACCAAUUAAAGGUACUAGGUCUUCCUUAAGCAGCAAGAAAAUGUGGGGGGUUUUACAGAAGAAAACAAGCAAUCUGGGCUAUAGCAGAAGAGCACUAAUCAACUUAAGUCCACCUUCCAUGGUGGUUCAGAAACCAGACUACCUUAACGAUUUUACCCACGAAAUCCCAAAUAUCCAGACUGACUCCUAUGAAAGUAUGGCAAAAACCACACCAACUGGUGGCCUUCCAAGGGACCCCCAAGAACUCAUGGUUGAUAACCCUUUGAAUCAGCUCUCGACUCUAGCAGGGCAGUUGUCCAGUCUGCCACCCGAAAACCAAAACCCUGCAUCCCCUGAUGUAGUUCCCUGCCCUGAUGAAAAGCCUUUCAUGAUUCAGCAGCCCUCUACCCAAGCAGUAGUUUCUGCCGUAUCAGCAAGUAUUCCUCAGAGCUCCUCUCCCACAAGCCCAGAACCUCGGCCAUCCCAUAGUCAAAGGAACUAUAGUCCAGUGGCAGGUCCAAGCAGUGAGCCAAGUGCCCACACGAGCACUCCCAGCAUAGGAAACAGCCAGCCAAGCACCCCAGCCCCAGCCCUGCCGGUCCAGGACCCUCAGCUUCUGCACCACUGCCAGCACUGUGAUAUGUACUUUGCAGACAACAUCCUUUACACUAUUCAUAUGGGAUGUCAUGGGUAUGAAAAUCCUUUUCAGUGUAAUAUAUGUGGAUGCAAAUGUAAAAACAAGUAUGAUUUUGCCUGUCAUUUUGCAAGAGGGCAACAUAACCAACAUUGAUUGAAAAUAGUCAUAUUUUACUUAGUUUUGCUGUUUUUGUGGUUUGGUUUUUUUUGUUUUUUGUUUUGGUCAUCCCUAAUAAAGUGUCUGCUAAUUCAAGGCUUAUACAUUAUAUUUAUAGAAUAUAAAUUUGUCAGUGGAAUAAAAUUUCCCCUUUUUUUCAUAAAAAUCUGGUCAGGGUCAUUUAUAUAUUAGAACAGUUAGACACAUUGGUGUCUCUUUUUUCCUUUCCUUUCGACAUUGGAGAAUUGGAGUGCAGUCAUAAUCUUACAAGAUGUUCAUUUGAAUUUCUCACAUUUAUGGUCCAUAAAAACUUCAAGGCUUAUCCAUACUUUUGAUGUUUCAAUAUGCAUUGAACUGGAUGUUAUUUCUGCCAUAUUUCAAAAUGGUAGAAUAAAUUACAGAAUUUAUUACUACUCAUUUCAGUGUUUAGUACAGAAAUUGCCUUAAAAAUUGCUAUUAAUUGAAAUAUCAUUUAGUUCACAUUCCUUAAGUUGAAUCGGUAGUUUCAUUUCAACUGAUAAUAGUAAAGCUAUUUCAGUUUAGUAAAAAUUUUCUUUUUUCCACAAGAGGAAAUGUAAAACAGUUAAGACUUGAAAUUGAAAAUUCUUUUAAUAUUUAAAAUAACUUGUUUAUUCAAUGUCUAAACACAUGUCAGUUUUCCACUGGAUUUUUAUUUUCACAGGUAAAUACACUAGAGUGCUAGAUGCCUUUUUCCCCUGUCAGUUUGACUUUCAUUUAAAUCCUUCAUUCUGAUAUCAUUACUGUUAGGUGAGGUGGAUAACUAUAAUGAGAAUCUCUUAUUCUUCCUAUUCCUUUGAUGACCAAAGAGAUAAAGUGAAGUCAUCCUUAUUAUUAAAAUGCAGCCUCCAAACAAAUUUCUCAAGAUUCCUUUUCCUUCCUUCUAUCCAUUUUCUGCCCAUAAUUUCCAAGAAAAGGUGGGUAUGGAAACACAUGAGAGAAUGUGAUAGUGAAGUCAUAUUUACAAAACUGAGAACAUGUCCAAAAUGGAUUCUUGUCUCCUCUUCAGAAUUAGCCAUUUAAAAUAUUUUCUGUGACUUCAAAUUGUAAUUCUUAUUUGCAGUUUUACCAGUCUUCAUGUACAGUGACGAAACUGUGUAGAAACUAAAUCAUCGCUUUAGUAAGAAAGGAUAAAAAGGUGUGGAAGUGAAUAUAAAAUGCAUCUAAACAUGACAUUUAAUUUGUUUAUAAAAAUAAGACUUACUAAAUAUAGAGUAAUUCAUUUUGAAUAGGAGGCUAUUGUUUUUAUAUUGUGUAAUAACUCACGUACUCUGAAGAGAGCUUGGUCAAACAAUAAAAUACAUUGUUACUAACUUGGUUUCUUUUCUGUGUACUUUGCAAAAAUUCUAUUUUUAAUUUUGUUCAUAUGUUGAAUGUGCCCCUAAUUGGCAUCUUAAAGAGAAUAGUAAGCAUCUAUUAACCAAAAAAGAACUCUAAUAGUAAAGGAAAGGGAAAUAUUGGUGGUAUGUACCCACAAAACCCCCAAGUGCCAAGUUAAUGGAAUCUCUGCUUUCCCUUUCAGAUGCUAGAAAGCCACUGUAAUGAGUUCUUGCAGUUUAGCAUCCAGUCUAAGCUACUGCAUUGUUUAAAGAGCAGCAUCAAGGACACUUUCUCCAAACUGGAACUCUCUUCUUUGUCAAAUCUUGUACUUUAAAAUUCUACAAUUCUGUUACAUUGUUGUUUAAAUCACAGACUGCUCAGAUCCAUUUUACUGCAGUAGUUUCCAAGUGUGUAACUUGGCUUUAGUAUUUAUCAGUUGCCAGAAAGAAACAGGUUGUCAUUUGGAAGUUUUUGUGGUUAUUUUUUCCCAUUUUUAUUCUUCAGAUAAAAGCAGUACCCCAAAAUAGAAAAUGAAAAUUUUCAUGAAACAAAGAGAACUCCCUUGUUAAAACCAGCUUAUUAACUCUGUAUUCUGUCAAAUGCAUUUUUUUCUAACAACUGACCAUGGAUGUUGUGAAGGUGCAUUUUAAUUUAAACAUGGAAAAGAUUUUUUUCAUAAUUACAUACUAGAAUGUAAAAUUAUAAUUUUGCCAUGACUUAAAGAGCACAGUUGAUAUCCCAAAGGUUUUGAUGCUAAGAAGCUACAGUUAUUCUAAAUGCACUAAAAUGUUUGAGGCAAAUCUACCUUAGAGGCUUUUUUGGUAUGGUAUUUUUUAAAAUAUUUAGAUUUUAUUUAAAUUUCCUGUGAGUUAUUCUGUAUUUGAAAAGAUGUUCGUGUCUUCCCCUCUGUAUUGAAUGUUUCACUCAUUUUAUUUUUAAUCAAAUAUUUUAUAGAAAUGAGUUGUUGGGAAGAGUUUAACAUGCACUAUUUAUAGUACUUUGCCGUUAACAGGCAAUGUUCUGAAACUAAAUUUAUUUUUGUUCAGUGAACAUAAGUUUAGAUUUUUAAAGUUGGUAGAUAAUUUAUCUCCACUAAUAUUUUUUUAAGAAACUGUGAAGAGAUUAACUGGGAAUAAUUUUAUUUCAGAUUUUACUAAUGUAGUAUGUAGCUACAACUUCUUGAACUUCAAGUUAAGGCUAGACAUUUACUUUGAAAAAAUUCCACUGGGUGUUUCCAGGGCUAUUUCAUUUUAGAAAUAAGUGUUUGCCAUUCUUCUGCAAAAACUGGACAAGGGGAAUACUACAAAAAAUACUCAGAGAUAAAAUCCUCAUUUCAAGUUCUACAAAAUAUUUAUCAAAUGAAUGUUAAUUUUUUUUUAAUUCCCUGCUAAAGACGUUUUCAUUAGUCUUAGAGGGUAUAUGCUUUCUAGAACUUGUUUUUGUUAACAUGUGCUUUGAUGUAAAGAACAUAUUUUGUAUGCAAAACAUAACUUGCAUUAUGGUUGUACAAUACACUAUAUUGUUUAGGGAUUCCGGAAAGCAGUUUAAUGCAGAAAUAACUAUAUCUAGUAUGCAGUUCAUAUUGUGAAUGAAGCUUUGCUUUUGUAAUAAAUAAAUAAGACUUUCUAAUGAC
rnacentral:lncRNA from 1 species